GAUGAACGCUAGCUACAGGCUUAACACAUGCAAGUCGAGGGGAAACGAUAUUGGAAGCUUGCUUCCGAUAGGCGUCGACCGGCGCACGGGUGAGUAACGCGUAUCCAACCUGCCCACCACUUGGGGAUAACCUUGCGAAAGUAAGACUAAUACCCAAUGAUAUCUCUAGAAGACAUCUGAAAGAGAUUAAAGAUUUAUCGGUGAUGGAUGGGGAUGCGUCUGAUUAGCUUGUUGGCGGGGUAACGGCCCACCAAGGCGACGAUCAGUAGGGGGUCGGAGAGGAAGGUCCCCCACAUUGGAACUGAGACACGGUCCAAACUCCUACGGGAGGCAGCAGUGAUGAAUAUUGGUCAAUGGGCGAGAGCCUGAACCAGCCAAGUAGCGUGCAGGAUGACGGCCCUAUGGGUUGUAAACUGCUUUUAUAAGGGAAUAAAGUGAGAGUCGUGACUCUUUUUGCAUGUACCUUAUGAAUAAGGACCGGCUAAUUCCGUGCCAGCCGCCGCAGUAACAC
rnacentral:rRNA from 1 species